rnacentral:rRNA from 1 species
UACGAAGGGGGCUAGCGUUGCUCGGAAUUACUGGGCGUAAAGCGCACGUAGGCGGUUCGUUAUGUCGGAUGUGAAAGCCCUUGGCUUAACCGAGGAAGUGCAUCCGAAACUGGCGAGCUAGAGUACGAAAGAGGGUCGUGGAAUUCCCAGUGUAGAGGUGAAAUUCGUAGAUAUUGGGAAGAACACCGGUGGCGAAGGCGGCGUCCUGGUCCUUGACUGACGCUGAGGCGCGAAAGCGUGGGGAGCAAACAGG